GAGGGUAUAGCUCAGUGAUAGGGCGCAUGCUUGGCAUGCACGGGGUCAUGGGUUCAAUCCCUAGUACCGCCA
rnacentral:tRNA from 1 species